rnacentral:rRNA from 1 species
ACUCCUACGGGAGGCAGCAGUGGGGAAUAUUGCACAAUGGGGGAAACCCUGAUGCAGCCAUGCCGCGUGUGUGAAGAAGGCCUUGGGUUGUAAAGCACUUUCAGUAGGGAGGAAGGUAGUGUAGUUAACACCUGCACUUAUUUGUACGUUACCUACAGAAGAAGCACCGGCUAACUCCGUGCCAGCAGCCGCGGUAAGUACGGAGGGUGCGAGCGUUAAUCGGAAUUACGUGGGACGUAAAGCGCAUGCAGGCGGCCUGUUAAGUCAGAUGUGAAACGCCCGGGGUCUUAACCGUCGGAAUUGCAUUUGAAACUGGCAGGCUAGAGUCUUGUAGAGGGGUUAGAAUUUCGAGGUGUAGCGGUGAAAUGCGUAGAGAUCGUGAAGGAAUACCGAGUGGCGAAGGCGGCCCCCGUAGGACAAG